rnacentral:rRNA from 1 species
UACGGGGGAGCAAGCGUUGUUCGGAUUUACUGGGCGUAAAGGGCGCGUAGGCGGCCACCGCAAGUCGACUGUGAAAUCUCCGGGCUUAACCCGGAAAGGUCAGCCGAUACUGCGGGGCUAGAGUGCAGAAGGGGCAACUGGAAUUCUCGGUGUAGCGGUGAAAUGCGUAGAUAUCGGUAGGAACACCAGUGGCGAAGGCGGUCUCUUGGGGCAUUCUUGACGCUGAGGCGCGAAAGCUGGGGGGGAGCGAACGGG